rnacentral:rRNA from 1 species
CAGUAGCCGCGGUAAUACGUAGGUGGCAAGCGUUGUCCGGAGUUAUUGGGCGUAAAGGGCUCGCAGGCGGUUUCUUAAGUCUGAUGUGAAAGCCCCCGGCUCAACCGGGGAGGGUCAUUGGAAACUGGGAAACUUGAGUGCAGAAGAGGAGAGUGGAAUUCCACGUGUAGCGGUGAAAUGCGUAGAGAUGUGGAGGAACACCAGUGGCGAAGGCGACUCUCUGGUCUGUAACUGACGCUGAGGAGCGAAAGCGUGGGGAGCGAACAGGAUUAGAUACCCCAGUAGUCCCUGUCUCUUAUAA